rnacentral:rRNA from 1 species
CAGCCGCCGCGGUAAUACGUAGGGUGCGAGCGUUAAUCGGAUUUACUGGGCGUAAAGCGUGCGCAGGCGGCCCGUUAAGACAGGUGUGAAAUCCCUGGGCUCAACCUAGGAAUUGCGCUUGUGACUGGCGGGCUCGAGUACGGUAGAGGGGGGUGGAAUUCCUGGUGUAGCAGUGAAAUGCGUAGAGAUCAGGAGGAACACCGAUGGCGAAGGCAGCCCCCUGGGCCUGUACUGACGCUCAUGCACGAAAGCGUGGGGAGCAAACAGGAUUAGAUACCCUGGUAGGCCACGCCCUAAACGAUGGGUACUAGCCGUUUGGUGCGCGAUAGCGCUGAGUGGCGAAGCUAACGCGUGAAGUACCCCGCCUGGGGAGUACGGCCGCAAGGUUGAAACUUAAAGGAAUUGGCGGG